rnacentral:rRNA from 1 species
GUGGGGAAUAUUGGACAAUGGGCGAAAGCCUGAUCCAGCCAUGCCGCGUGUGUGAAGAAGGUCUUCGGAUUGUAAAGCACUUUAAGUUGGGAGGAAGGGCAUUAACCUAAUACGUUAGUGUUUUGACGUUACCGACAGAAUAAGCACCGGCUAACUUCGUGCCAGCAGCCGCGGUAAUACGAAGGGUGCAAGCGUUAAUCGGAAUUACUGGGCGUAAAGCGCGCGUAGGUGGCCAAUUAAGUCAAAUGUGAAAGCCCCGGGCUCAACCUGGGAACUGCAUCCAAAACUGGCGAGCUAGAGUACGGUAGAGGGUGGUGGAAUUUCCUGUGUAGCGGUGAAAUGCGUAGAUAUAGGAAGGAACACCAGUGGCGAAGGCGACCACCUGGACUGAUACUGACACUGAGGUGCGAAAGCGUGGGGAGCAAACAGGAUUAGAUACCCGAGUAGUCC